CCUACGGGAGGCAGCAGUGGGGAAUUUUGGACAAUGGGCGCAAGCCUGAUCCAGCAAUGCCGCGUGAGUGAAGAAGGCCUUCGGGUUGUAAAGCUCUUUUGUCAGGGAAGAAACGGCUGAGGCUAAUAUCCUCGGCUAAUGACGGUACCUGAAGAAUAAGCACCGGCUAACUACGUGCCAGCAGCCGCGGUAAUACGUAGGGUGCAGGCGUUAAUCGGAAUUACUGGGCGUAAAGCGUGCGCAGGCGGUUUUGUAAGUCUGUCGUGAAAGCCCCGGGCUUAACCUGGGAAUUGCGAUGGAGACUGCAAGGCUUGAAUCUGGCAGAGGGGGGUAGAAUUCCACGUGUAGCAGUGAAAUGCGUAGAGAUGUGGAGGAACACCGAUGGCGAAGGCAGCCCCCUGGGUCAAGAUUGACGCUCAUGCACGAGAGCGUGGGGAGCAAACAGGAUUAGAUACCCUGGUAGUCCACGCCCUAAACGAUGUCUACUAGUUGUCGGGUCUUAAUUGACUUGGUAACGCAGCUAACGCGUGAAGUGACCGCCUGGGGAAGUCGGUUCGNAAGNUUAAAACUCAAAUUGAAUUGACGGCNGAGAGNGCGACGGACGACGACGAGGAGGAGG
rnacentral:rRNA from 1 species